rnacentral:rRNA from 1 species
UACGAAGGGGGCUAGCGUUGUUCGGAAUUACUGGGCGUAAAGCGCACGUAGGCGGAUAUUUAAGUCAGGGGUGAAAUCCCGGGGCUCAACCCCGGAACUGCCUUUGAUACUGGGUAUCUCGAGUCCGAGAGAGGUGAGUGGAAUUCCGAGUGUAGAGGUGAAAUUCGUAGAUAUUCGGAGGACCCCCAGUGGCGAAGGCGGCUCCCUGGCUCGGUCCUGACGCUGAGGUGCGAAAGCGUGGGAGCAAACAGG